CCUACGGGAGGCAGCAGUAGGGAAUCUUCCGCAAUGGACGAAAGUCUGACGGAGCAACGCCGCGUGAACGAUGAAGGCCUUCGGGUCGUAAAGUUCUGUUGUUAGGGAAGAACAAGUGCUAGUUAAAUAAGCUGGCACCUUGACGGUACCUAACCAGAAAGCCACGGCUAACUACGUGCCAGCAGCCGCGGUAAUACGUAGGUGGCAAGCGUUGUCCGGAAUUAUUGGGCGUAAAGCGCGCGCAGGCGGUUUCUUAAGUCUGAUGUGAAAGCCCCCGGCUCAACCGGGGAGGGUCAUUGGAAACUGGGAAACUUGAGUGCAGAAGAGGAAAGUGGAAUUCCAAGUGUAGCGGUGAAAUGCGUAGAGAUUUGGAGGAACACCAGUGGCGAAGGCGACUUUCUGGUCUGUAACUGACGCUGAGGCGCGAAAGCGUGGGGAGCAAACAGGAUUAGAUACCCUGGUAGUCCACGCUGUAAACGAUGAGUGCUAAGUGUUAGAGGGUUUCCGCCCUUUAGUGCUGAAGUUAACGCAUUAAGCACUCCGCCUGGGGANACGGUCGCAAGACUGAAACUCAAAUGAAUUGACGGCUGNGAGNGCGAGCGACACGAGGAGAG
rnacentral:rRNA from 1 species